AGUUAGUAUGCCAUAUAUAUAAAUUUACAUAAUUUAUUUAAUCUUUCAUGAGCCAUGCAUCACAAAUCAUAAUAAUCAACAUAAUCAAGGUGUGUGAUUCUUUGUAAUCUCCAAAUGUCUUAUAUAGUAUCAAAAUUUCAGUCUAUCUUGUCCCUCCCUUCAAAUGCCUAAAGCAAACACGUCACAUAAUUUAAAUUUCAAACAACAACGUCUUUCUCCAGUAAUCAGUAUUGCACUCCACACUUUCAAGUAAACCAGAGAGAGAGAGGAGAGAGAGAGAGGAGAGAGACGAACACUGAAACUCAAAAAAAAGCCCCAAAAACAAAAACCCUAAAAUCCAAUGUAAUUCAUAAUCAAUGGAGAACGACGAAGAAACAAGUUCGCAAAUCGCACUCCAUACUUUCAGUAAACCAGAGAGAAAGAGAGAAGAAGAACAAUACUGAAACUCAAAAAAAAAACCCCAAAAUCAAAAUAAAAACCCCUAAAUUCCAACCUAAUUCAUAAUCCAUGGAGAACGACGAAGAAACAAGUUCGCACUCCAUACUUUCAGUAAACCAGAGAGAAAGAGAGAAGAACAACACUGAAACUCGAAAACCCACAAAAUCAAACCCCCCAAAAUCCAACCUAAUUCAUAAUCAAUGGAGAACGACGAAGAAACAAGUUCAGGUAAGAUGAUGGAUCACAUCUACGCCAACGGUGAAGAAAAGCAGCGUCACAGAUCAAUCAUAAGCGGCGAACAACUUGAUUGUGUGAGGACCCUUUCGCUUCGCCUUCGCCAUCUCCCCGUUUCUACGCCAUCGUUGUGUAAAGACCCUCAACUCUCAAGUUGACUUUACCCUUCACAUGCGUCGAUGUCAUACGCUUCGGUGAUUGUUGAGUGCGUAGGAUUACAAAGUGUGAGUUUGAAAUGGUGCUUGGAGAUUACUGAUCUUGGGAUUUGUCUUCUUGCUACCAAGUACCAAGUGUUUGGGUUUGAAAUCCUCAAUGUAUCUUCCCUCAAGAGUUGCAAAAAAGGAAGAACAAUUCUUUCUUUGUACGAAACUUAAGCAAUGAUGGAUCAGCUCUUGAUAUAAUCUCAUGGUAGUCAACUGGAAGGAAGCUCUCCCAUACGCAGUCCAACUCCGCGGCCG